CUGUAUAUUGUUUCUGGCAUCCCUGAGCCCUUCUGCCCCUGACAUCUGCUGUGCCUGUGACAGGGAAUACAUUCUUGACUCAUUAUCCGAGCAAGUGGAAUCCCACCCUGACAGGACCAUUAAUCAGAAUCAAGCAGUCCGGCAAAUAAAAAAGAGAGCGAGCGGCUCCUCACACUUUCUCCUUGAGGGUCCUGGACUUUGGGCAAUUGCGGCACUGAUGACAUUCCCUGGAGUCCAACUUCCUUCUCAUCUCUAGGUCUGGUGGCAUCCAGGAGGAGGGAGUCAAUAGCUGAAUCAUUAUAAAUAGCUAAAUCAUUAUGGAACAUCUGGAUGGAGGAACAGCCACAAAG